CCUACGGGAGGCAGCAGUGGGGAAUAUUGGACAAUGGGGGCAACCCUGAUCCAGCCAUGCCGCGUGUGUGAAGAAGGCCCUCGGGUUGUAAAGCACUUUCAGUGAGGAAGAACGCCUGGUGGUUAAUACCCAUCAGGAAAGACAUCACUCACAGAAGAAGCACCGGCUAACUCCGUGCCAGCAGCCGCGGUAAUACGGAGGGUGCGAGCGUUAAUCGGAAUUACUGGGCGUAAAGCGCGCGUAGGUGGCUUGAUAAGCCGGUUGUGAAAGCCCCGGGCUCAACCUGGGAACGGCAUCCGGAACUGUCAAGCUAGAGUGCAGGAGAGGACGGUAGAAUUCCCGGUGUAGCGGUGAAAUGAGUAGAGAUCGGGAGGAAUACCAGUGGCGAAGGCGGCCUUCUGGACUGACACUGACACUGAGGUGCGAAAGCGUGGGUAGCAAACAGGAUUAGAUACCCGUGUAGUC
rnacentral:rRNA from 1 species